AGUGAACAAGCACCAAACCAGCGUGCGUGAGUGCAGAGUUGGAUGGUGAGCCGUGCAUUGCAUGACGUGCAAUUUUGUGCUGUUCCUAUCAGAAUAAAGCUCCAUGACUGGUGUUACAAGAUGGAGUUCGUGUUGAUGAUUGAUUGUACACAACGCAAGAAGAGUACUGUUACAGUGGUGCCGUGACCGUUCUUCUGGAUCGGAUCAUCCUUCGCUGGAUUUCCAUCUCAGAACUUCGCCGUGGUUGCCGUUGAAGAAUCAGAUAAGACGUUGCUGGUGCAGUUUA